rnacentral:rRNA from 1 species
CAAUAGCGUAUAUUAAAGUUGUUGCGGUAAAAAAGCUCGUAGUUGGAUUUCUGUUGAGAGCGACCGGUCCAUACCAUGUAUGCGUAUCUGGCUUGCUCUCGGCAUCCACUCGAUAGACGUUACUGCGCUUGAUUGCGUGGUGCGGAUCUCGGGACUUUUACUUUGAGGAAAUUAGAGUGUUCACGGCAGGCUUUCGCCAGAAUACAUUAGCAUGGAAUAAUACUAUAGGAUCUUGGUUCUAUUUUGUUGGUUUCUAGAAUUGAGAUAAUGAUUAAUAGGGACAAUUGGGGGCAUUCGUAUCAACACGUCAGAGGUGGAAUUCUUGGAUUGUGUUGCGACGAACUACUGCGAAAGCAUUUGCCAAGGAUGUUUUCAUUGA